AGAGCGAACGCUGGCGGCAGGCCUAACACAUGCAAGUCGAGCGCCCGUAGCAAUACGGGAGCGGCAGACGGGAUAGUAACACGUGGGAACGCGCCCUUCGGUUCGGAAUAACUCAGGGAAACUUGAGCUAAUACCGAAUACGCCCUUACGGGGAAAGAUUUAUUGCCGAAGGAACGGCCCGCGUCCGAUUAGCUAGUUGGUGAGGUAAUGGCUCACCAAGGCUACGAUCGGUAGCUGGUCUGAGAGGAUGACCAGCAUCACUGGGACUGAGACACGGCCCAGACUCCUACGGGAGGCAGCAGUGGGGAAUAUGGACAAUGGGCGCAAGCCUGAUCCAGCCAUGCCGCGUGGAUGAUGAAGGCCUUAGGGUUGUAAAGUCCUUUUAACGGGGAAGAUAAUGACGGUACCGUAGAAUAAGCCCCGGACUAACUUCGUGCCAGCAGCCGC
rnacentral:rRNA from 1 species